UAACGCGUGGGGAACCUGCCCCGUACCGGGGGAUAACACCUGGAAACAGGUGCUAAUACCGCAUAACAGAAGGGGACGCAUGUUCCUUUCUUGAAAACUCCGGUGGUACGGGAUGGACCCGCGUCUGAUUAGCUGGUUGGCGGGGUAACGGCCCACCAAGGCGACGAUCAGUAGCCGGCCUGAGAGGGCGGACGGCCACAUUGGGACUGAGACACGGCCCAAACUCCUACGGGAGGCAGCAGUGGGGAAUAUUGCACAAUGGGGGAAACCCUGAUGCAGCGACGCCGCGUGAGUGAAGAAGCGUUUCGGCGCGUAAAGCUCUGUCAGCGGGGAAGAAACACGGUUCGCGAGAGCCGCGGACGGUACCCGACCAAGAAGCCCCGGCUAACUACGUGCCAGCAGCCGCGGUAAUACGUAGGGGGCAAGCGUUAUCCGGAUUCACUGGGUGUAAAGGGAGCGUAGACGGCGAGACAAGUCUGGAGUGAAAGGCCGGGGCCCAACCCCGGGACUGCUCUGGAAACUGCCUGGCUGGAGUACAGGAGAGGUAAGUGGAAUUCCUAGUGUAGCGGUGAAAUGCGUAGAUAUUAGGAGGAACACCAGUGGCGAAGGCGGCUUACUGGACUGUAACUGACGUUGAGGCUCGAAAGCGUGGGGAGCAAACAGGAUUAGAUACCCUGGUAGUCCACGC
rnacentral:rRNA from 1 species